rnacentral:rRNA from 1 species
AUUGAACGCUGGCGGCAGGCCUAACACAUGCAAGUCGAGCGGAGCGGCGGACGGGUGAGUAAUACCUAGGAAUCUGCCUGGUAGUGGGGGAUAACGUUCGGAAACGGACGCUAAUACCGCAUACUAUCAGAUGAGCCUAGGUCGGAUUAGCUAGUUGGUGGGGUAAUGGCCUACCAAGGCGACGAUCCGUAACUGGUCUGAGAGGAUGAUCAGUCACACUGGAACUGAGACACGGUCCAGACUCCUACGGGAGGCAGCAGUGGGGAAUAUUGCACAAUGGGCGCAAGCCUGAUCCAGCCAUGCCGCGUGUGUGAAGAAGGUCUUCGGAUUGUAAAGUACUUUCAGUUGGGAGGCGUUACCCACAGAAUAAGCACCGGCUAACUCCGUGCCAGCAGCCGCGGUAAUAC